rnacentral:rRNA from 1 species
GACGAACGCUGGCGGCGUGCCUAACACAUGCAAGUUGAGCGACGAACCAGGGCUUGCCCUGGGGCAAAGCAGCGAACGGGUGAGUAACACGUGGGUAACCUACCCCGAUAACCGGGACAACCCGAGGAAACUCGGGCUAAUACCGGAUGUGCUCACUGGACUUCGGUUCAGUGCGUAACGGAAGCUUCGGCCUCCGUAUCGGGAGGUGCCCGCGGCCCAUUAGAUUGUUGGUGAGGUAACGGCUCACCAAGACCGCGAUGGGUAGCUGGUCUGAGAGGACGAUCAGCCACACUGGGACUGAGACACGGCCCAGACUCCUACGGGAGGCAGCGGUGGGGAAGGUUGCGCAAUGCGCGAAAGCGUGACGCAGCAACGCCGCGUGGGGGAAGAAGGCCUUCGGGUUGUAAAACCCUGUCAGGAGGGACGAAGGUUCGGCGGUGAAUAGCCGGCCGGACUGACGGUACCUCCACAAGAAGCCCCGGCUAACUACGUG